rnacentral:lncRNA from 1 species
GGAACAAGAGCCAUCAAAUGGCUAUAAAAAGGCAGCAAAAUGAGGGUUCAUUUUCACCCUUCAAAGCAAGGUUUUGGUGGCUCCAUUUGAUACAAAUAGGGGGCUAAGGGAGGAGAAUGAGGAAGGUAUUGAAAAAGGGGUGGCGGCAGAAAGAAAGAAAGAAACAGAGAAAACGAGAGAGAAAAGAGGGAAGAAAAAGAAAAAUUUUGCUGAAAAAUCUCCGACCAGGCUGGCUGACUAGCCUCUUUCCUAAUCAAUUUUCGACUUGUUUUUGAACCUUUUUGAGUGAUUUGUUUUUUUCUGCACUAUCACCAGAUGUGACAGAACAAAUUUUGUUUUGAAAACAUUAUGAAAAAACAUCCCAGUCCUUUCGAAUUGUAGUACAAACUCUUGACCUUGUCACUGCUGAAAUUUCUGCAACAAAGGUCCUGGCUUCCAGAUUUCAGCUUUGAAUCACACUCUCCUCAGAUUUCCUACGUUUAUUUGGGUAUCUUCAAACAUCAAAGGUAACUCUUAAUCUUUCCCUUGCUUGCUGCAAUCCACAUGCAAAAAGAAUUAAACUCAUUAAACAGGAACCUUGUCAGAUUAUUGCUUCAUGAGUUUUUGCACUAGCCUUAUGCGUAUUGUUGGGUCUGAUGCAUCUUAUUAAAAGAUGACAAAGCUGUCAAGUUAACGUAAAGGCCAUCAGUGAUUUUUUUAUCUCUGCAAGUUUUGCAGCUCAUGAUCUGAGUCAUGUUUUCGGGGCUUUGUUUGGAAUCUACAAAUGAAAGUUGUCUGUUUCUCUUUCUGCUUGCAAACCCGAGAAGGAAAGGAAGAGGGGGGGUCUUGAACCAUUAAUUUCACGUUGUUACAUUGUUUUCUUGUUGGGUUGAAGUUCCUAUGUUAGUUGAUGAAUCCAUGGGCUUCGUUUAAGUUCGCGGCUGAUUUUCUUGUGCUUGAAUAAGAGUAGCUAGUGAAACCCAGGAAGUUGUAGGAAGGCUCUUUGAAGAAGCUGCAUGCAAGGUUGUGGGUCCCACCUUAGAUUUGUGGUUGCUUUGUGAAAUCUGGUUGCUUUGUGGGUCCCACCUCAGAUUGUCCGUUUGGCCCGUUCUUUGAUGACUCUCUGAGUGUUUAAUCUAACUGUGUGCGUGUGUUCUUGAUCAUUUGUGAGAAAAAAAAAAAGAAGCUGCAUGCAAGUUUUUAAAAUUUACAUUUUUGACCCCCAACUUUUGUUUAAUUUCACCAUGGCCCAAAACUUGGAAAAAUCUAGCUUAUUUCGCUCUUUUAAGUUUUAAUAAUCUUUUUCAUGUUUUAAGUAGGUUUUUGGGUGAACUAUUUCUGGUUUUAAGGCAUAAUUAGGGUUUAAUAAUUUUUAAUUGAUUUGUUGCCUUGAUGGGUUUUAGUAAAAUUGGAUUAAGAUUGAUUUGUUUGGGUUUUAAAAGAGGGUUGUGCUUUUGUUUUGAUGGGGUUUUUGUGUGGACUUGGAGGUCAAAGCCUGGCCUUUUGAUGGACUUUGCUUAGCAAAAAUGAUGGGUCAGCCCACCCUUAUUCUUGAGGCUUUUCUUCGGGCUUGAUGGCUUUUGGCCCAAAGAAAAAAAAAUGGCCCAAGUGGCCUGUUAGGUUAGGAAGACCAGAGAUGAAUUUGCAGAUUAGUCCCUACAAUUUUGAGUAUUUUGUAUUUCGGCCCUAAAAUGUUUAAUUUCUUUCAAUUAGGUCCCUCAUUUAAUUGUAAAUAGGUUCCUGAACUUUAUUUUUCUUUCAAUUUGACCCUAAAUAUUUUAAUAAUUACAAAUUGACCCCCAAAUCUUUCUUAAUUUUUGCAAUUAGGUCCCAAGCAGUUUUGAUUCUUAAAUAUAAGUUACUUUUCUUCUUUAAUUGUUAAUUAUGCUUCAUUUAAGUGCUUUAAUUGGUAGAUUUCAUGAUUAUUUCUAUUUCUUUAUAAUUAAAUUGGCGUCUUGAUCAUUUUGUUCAUUUUGGAGCAUAAGUAGGGCAAAUUUCACCCUAUCUAAUCACCACUUCAAGAGAGGUAACCUCUUUUAUUAUUUUAAACUCCUUUAUGCGCUCCAAUGUGUUUUUAUGUGUAAUUGUAUGUUUUCAGUGCUUUUUCUUUAAUUAGUCAUUCUUGUUCAUGUUAUGUUUCAUUUGUUUUAUUUAAUUUUGAUGAUUAUUUGAGAGGCAUUAAAAUGCCAAGUUGUAAUAGAUAGGUGCUCAAGACAUGCAUUUAGCUAGCCUAUGUAAUACAUAGGUUUUAAUUUUUGCUAAAAAUGUAUCUAGUUAGAUAAAUGUAAUAGUUAUAUUAUUAUUAUUUUUUUAGAAUUUCCCCCUUUAGAUUGUAGUUAGGGCCCCGAAUGUAAUAGUUAGGCUCUUAUUUGUAUUUAUUUGCUUGGGUGCUUGCAUGCUUGUGCACUUAUGUGUUUACUCGCUUUCAUUAGGGUUUUGCAUCUAGAAAUUAUACUUAUGUGUUAUGUGAUCUAUGUGUUUUAUGUGUUUACUUGUUUUAAUUAUGCUUUAUAUGAUUUAUUUAGUUAUAAUAAAUGCAUGACGUCACCACACUAGUCCAACGCUAGUUGUGGCUUUUCCUUUCGAUUUCUCACUAGUCCAACGCUAGUGAUGACUUGUAGAAGUGGGUUAGUCCAAUGUUAGACCCUUUAGGCUGUUUUUGCGCUAGAUUCACAUUCUUUGCGUGAUAUUCAUCACAUUUCAUGC